GACGAACCGUGCAAACGUUGUUCGGAAUCACUGGGCUUAAAGGGCGCGUAGGCGGACCAUCAAGUCCGGGGUGAAAUCCUUCGGCUCAACCGGAGAACAGCCUCGGAUACUGGUGGUCUCGAGUGAGGUAGGGGCAUGCGGAACUGAUGGUGGAGCGGUGAAAUGUGUUGAUAUCAUCAGGAACUCCGGUGGCGAAAGCGGCGUGCUGGACCUCUACUGACGCUGAGGCGCGAAAGCCAGGGGAGCGAACGGG
rnacentral:rRNA from 1 species